UAACAAGGAUUCCCCUAGUAACUGCGAGUGAAGCGGGAAAAGCUCAAAUUUAAAAUCUGGCGGGUUCCCCGUCCGAGUUGUAAUCUGGAGAAGCGUUUUCCGUGUCGGACCGUGUACAAGUCCCUUGGAAUGGGGCGUCAUAGAGGGUGAGAAUCCCGUCCAUGACACGGACUACCGAUGCUUUGUGAUACGCUCUCAAAGAGUCGAGUUGUUUGGGAAUGCAGCUCAAAAUGGGUGGUAAAUUCCAUCUAAAGCUAAAUAUUGGCGAGAGACCGAUAGCGAACAAGUACCGUGAGGGAAAGAUGAAAAGCACUUUGGAAAGAGAGUUAAACAGUACGUGAAAUUGUUGAAAGGGAAACGCUUGAAGUCAGUCGCGUCCGUCGAGACUCAGCCUUGCCUUUGGGCCUGGUGUACUUCUCGGUGGACGGGUCAACAUCGAUUUUGAAUGGCAGAUAAAGGUCUGGGGAAUGUGGCACCUCCGGGUGUGUUAUAGCCCCUCUCCGUAUAUGCUGUUUGGGAUCGAGGACCGCAGCACGCCCUUGUGGCCGGGGUUUUACCCACGUACCGUGCUUAGGAUGUUGGCAUAAUGGCUUUAAGCGACCCGUCUUGAAACACGGACCAAGGAGUCUAACAUGCCUGCGAGUGUUAGGGUGCAAAACCCUUGCGCGUAAUGAAAGUGAAAGUUGGGACCUCUGUCGAGGAGGGCACCGACGCCCGGCCCUGAACUCUUGUGACGGUGCUGCGGUAGAGCAUGUAUGUUGGGACCCGAAAGAUGGUGAACUAUGCCUGAAUAGGGCGAAGCCAGAGGAAACUCUGGUGGAGGCUCGUAGCGAUUCUGACGUGCAAAUCGAUCGUCAAAUUUGGGUAUAGGGGCGAAAGACUAAUCGAACCAUCUAGUAGCUGGUUCCUGC
rnacentral:rRNA from 1 species